UGAGAUCUACAGACUGGAUGAUUAAG
rnacentral:piRNA from 1 species